rnacentral:rRNA from 1 species
GACGAACGCUGGCGGCGUGCUUAACACAUGCAAGUCGAACGGAAAGGCCCUGCUUUUGUGGGGUGCUCGAGUGGCGAACGGGUGAGUAACACGUGAGUAACCUGCCCUUGACUUUGGGAUAACUUCAGGAAACUGGGGCUAAUACCGGAUAGGAGCUCCUGCUGCAUGGUGGGGGUUGGAAAGUUUCGGCGGUUGGGGAUGGACUCGCGGCUUAUCAGCUUGUUUGUGGGGUAGUGGCUUACCAAGGCUUUGACGGGUAGCCGGCCUGAGAGGGUGACCGGCCACAUUGGGACUGCGAGACGGACCAGACGCCUACGGGAGGCAGCAGUGGGGAAUAUUGCGCAAUGGGCGGAAGCCUGAUGCAGCAACGCCGCGUGCGGGAUGACGGCCUUCGGGUUGUAAACCGCUUUCGCCUGUGACGAAGCGUGAGUGACGGUAAUGGGUAAAGAAGCACCGGCUAACUACGUG